rnacentral:rRNA from 1 species
AACGGAAAUCAGGGAGCUUGCUCCCCUGUGAUUAGUGGCGAACGGGUGAGUAACACGUGAGCAACCUGCCCCUAACUUUGGGAUAACUUCGGGAAACCGGGGCUAAUACCAAAUACGACCCAUGAGGGCAUCCUCUGUGGGUGGAAGGAAUUUCGGUUGGGGAUGGGCUCGCGGCCUAUCAGCUUGGUUGGUGGGGUAACGGCCUACCAAGGCAUCGACGGGUAGCCGGCCUGAGAGGGUGAUCGGCCACACUGGGACUGAGACACAGCCCAGACUCCUACGGGAGGCAGCAGUUGGGAAUAUUGCACAAUGGGCGCAACCUGCAUGCAGCGACGCCGCGUGGGGGAAGAAGGCCUUCGGGUUGUAAACCUCUUUUGGCAGGGAAGAAGCGAAAGUGACGGUACCUGCAGAAAAAGCGCCGGCUAACUACGUGCCAGCAGCCGCGUUAAUACGUAGGGCGCGAGCGUUGUCCGGAAUUAUUUGGCGUAAAGAGCUCGUAGGCGGUUUGUCACGUCUGCCGUGAAAAUCCGAGGCUCAACCUCGGACCUGCGGUGGGUACGGGCAGGCUAGAGUGCGAUAGGGGAGAGCGGAAUUCCUGGUGUAGCGGUGAAAUGCGCAGAUAUCAGGAGGAACACCGAUGGCGAAGGCAGCUCUCUGGGUCGCUACUGACGCUGAGGAGCGAAAGCGUGGGGAGCGAACAGGAUUAGAUACCCUGGUAGUCCACGCCGUAAACGUUGGGCGCUAGACGUGGGGGUGGUUCCACCGCUUCCGUGUCGCCACUAACGCAU